GCGGAAGUAGUUCAGUGGUAGAAAAUCACCUUGCCAUGGUGGGGGUCGCGGGUUCGAAUCCCGUCUUCCGCU
rnacentral:tRNA from 1 species